CUUCUUUCUUUACGUGAACAUCUGGGCGGCGUUAUGCAAAUGUUCCCACACAGUAACGUAGACGUGGGGGAGUUUAAACGAGGUGUUAUAGGUAGGUGUGGUUGACUCUUAAAUUUUAUUAAGAAUAUCUCUUUGGAUUUGAGACUUUAGUCUUUGCAACUUUACAGAUCUUCUUUAUGCACCAAGAGCUUGUAGCACUCCAAAGUGAAAGGAAAAACUGAUAUCGCAUCAUAUGACCCCUUUAAUUUUUUGACCAUAUCAACAUGCAAAAUAUCAUAUAUAGGCUUUAAGUUUUAAAAUAUUAUACAAGCCAAUUUAUGUCUAUACUUUGUUAAUAUACAUUUUGAUUGCAGAAUUCAGUGUCAGAAUUUAAAUGAUCCUGUUCCUGUUCAAUGAAUCAUUUGUUUGCUGGAGAGGGCAGUAAAUGAUAGGAUCAAUUCUGCUUGUUGACCUGUUGAAAAAAAAAAAUCUCCAAGGAUCAACAGGACUGUCUCGUCCUUUCCCACGCUGAACAUCUGACUGCCCCCCCUCCCCCCCCUUCUGUGAGAGAAGUCUAAAAACCGCGGCAAUGGCCAUCAAAAAACCAACAACUUCCUCUGUCGCCUGCUCACUUCCUGUUUCUGCGUCUGAGGGCCCAACGGUGCAGUGAUGAUUAGCUGGGCCUUUGCGUGACAAUCAAGCAGCCAGACGCUCUUAGUUUCCCCCAUUCAGACCGGAAGCAGCACUAUUGCAACGGUAAACUGUUUCUCACUUCUGCUGUGACAGUCACACACGCUGUCUGAGCAUCUUAUAAAAUGUGUAUUGUUUUGCUUCUUAUUUUUGCAGAAUCAUCUGUGAAAUCUGUCUGCAGCCUUUCAAAAACAGGAAGUGUAACUGAGAUCUGAUAAAGACCCUCUCGAUUUCAUCUAGAUCACAUGGGCAUCAGUCAUCAGGUCGUGUCCCAUGAAGGCAAAUAUUGCUCAUCUGAAAAAAAAAAGAACCAGGAUAUUUCACAAAAUGAUGCCUUUGCAAUCAAGGAUGUCAUGCACCUGCCUCAGGUAACAUCUGGAUCUAAUAAACAAUCACAAUGUUGUUGUGCAGCUUUAUUGUGGGUAACACAUGCAGAAGGACGUCUUUGGCCUUUGGCCACAUUGCAUAUUUUCAGCAUCUUAAAUUGUUUUAGUCAUAAUACUGUCAUUCCAUGCAAACUGCUAUGUCAAGGUACAAACAGGUACAAGCAAACAAAAACACAUUGACAACAAAAAGUGUCUCAGUCUGCUAGUGGAGAGAAAAAGUAGUGCAAUCAGGCACAUCAUUUUAUGUUAAUGUACUGUAUAAAAUAAUUAAUUUAGUUGUUUGUAAUUUGUAAAAGUAACUUUCAC
ensembl:lncRNA